CACGUGGGGCGCAAGCGUUGUCCGGAAUUAUUGGGCGUAAAGAGCUCGUAGGCGGUUUGUCGCGUCUGCCGUGAAAGUCCGAGGCUCAACUUCGGAUCUGCGGUGGGUACGGGCAGACUAGAGUGAUGUAGGGGAGACUGGAAUUCCUGGUGUAGCGGUGAAAUGCGCAGAUAUCAGGAGGAACACCGAUGGCGAAGGCAGGUCUCUGGGCAUCUACUGACGCUGAGGAGCGAAAGCAUGGGGAGCGAACAGG
rnacentral:rRNA from 1 species